UGGGGAAUAUUGCACAAUGGGCGCAAGCCUGAUGCAGCCAUGCUGCGUGUAUGAAGAAGGCCUUCGGGUUGUAAAGUACUUUCAGCGGGGAGGAAGGGAGUAAAGUUAAUACCUUUGCUCAUUGACGUUACCCGCAGAAGAAGCACCGGCUAACUCCGUGCCAGCAGCCGCGGUAAUACGGAGGGUGCAAGCGUUAAUCGGAAUUACUGGGCGUAAAGCGCACGCAGGCGGUUUGUUAAGUCAGAUGUGAAAUCCCCGGGCUCAACCUGGGAACUGCAUCUGAUACUGGCAAGCUUGAGUCUCGUAGAGGGGGGUAGAAUUCCAGGUGUAGCGGUGAAAUGCGUAGAGAUCUGGGGGAAUACCGGUGGCGAAGGCGGCCCCCUGGACGAAGACUGACGCUCAGGUGCGAAAGAGUGGGGAGCAAACAGG
rnacentral:rRNA from 1 species